UACGGAGGGGGCUAGCGUUAUUCGGAAUUAUUGGGCGUAAAGGGCGCGUAGGCGGCCCGGUAAGUCAAAGGUGAAAUCCCUCGGCUCAACUGAGGAACUGCCUUUGAAACUGUCGGGCUUGAGGCCGGGAGGGGGUAGCGGAAUUCCCAGUGUAGCGGUGAAAUGCGUAGAUAUUGGGAGGAACACCGGUGGCGAAGGCGGCUACCUGGACCGGUUCUGACGCUGAUGCGCGAAAGCGUGGGUAGCAAACAGGCUUCGAAACCGGGUAGC
rnacentral:rRNA from 1 species